AACGAACGCUGGCGGCAUGCCUAACACAUGCAAGUCGAACGCGUGGCUUCGGCCACGAGUGGCGCACGGGUGAGUAACGCGUGGGAACCUGCCCCGAGGUGGGGGAUAACCGAUGGAAACGUCGGCUAAUACCGCAUACGUCCUAAGGGGAGAAAGAUUUAUCGCCUUGGGAGGGGCCCGCGUCGGAUUAGCUAGUUGGUGGGGUAACGGCCUACCAAGGCGAUGAUCCGUAGCUGGUCUGAGAGGAUGAUCAGCCACACUGGGACUGAGACACGGCCCAGACUCCUACGGGAGGCAGCAGUGGGGAAUAUUGGACAAUGGGCGCAAGCCUGAUCCAGCAAUGCCGCGUGAGUGAUGAAGGCCUUAGGGUUGUAAAGCUCUUUCGGCGGGGACGAUGAUGACGGUACCCGCAGAAGAAGCCCCGGCUAACUUCGUGCCAGCAGCCGCCGUAAG
rnacentral:rRNA from 1 species